rnacentral:rRNA from 1 species
AGGGUUCGAUUCUGGCUCAGGAUGAACGCUAGCUACAGGCUUAACACAUGCAAGUCGAGGGCAUCAUGGAGUUUGCUUGCAAACUCUGAUGGCGACCGGCGCGACGGGUGAGUAACGCGUAUCCAACCUUCCUAUAGUAGAGGAUAGCCCGGCGAAAGUCGGAUUUAAUACUCUAUGUUUUUCCGUUGCAGACAUCUAAGAUGGAACAAAGGCUUGCCGCUAUAGGAUGGGGGAUGCGUCUGAUUAGGUAGUCGGCGGGGUAACGGCCCACCGAGCCAUCGAUCAGUAGGGGUUCUGAGAGGAAGGUCCCCCACAUUGGAACUGAGACACGGUCCAAACUCCUACGGGAGGCAGCAGUGAGGAAUAUUGGUCAAUGGGCGAGAGCCUGAACCAGCCAAGUAGCGUGCAGGACGACGGCCCUAUGGGUUGUAAACUGCUUUUAUGCGGGAUAAAGUUCACUACGUGUAGUGUUUUGUAGGUACCGCAUGAAUAAGGACCGGCUAAUUCCGUGCCAGCAGCUGC